rnacentral:rRNA from 1 species
CUCAGAUUGAACGCUGGCGGCAGGCCUAACACAUGCAAGUCGAGCGGAUGAGAGGAGCUUGCUCCUCGAUUCAGCGGCGGACGGGUGAGUAAUGCCUAGGAAUCUGCCUAGUAGUGGGGGACAACGUUUCGAAAGGAACGCUAAUACCGCAUACGUCCUACGGGAGAAAGUGGGGGAUCUUCGGACCUCACGCUAUUAGAUGAGCCUAGGUCGGAUUAGCUAGUUGGUAGGGUAAAGGCCUACCAAGGCGACGAUCCGUAACUGGUCUGAGAGGAUGAUCAGUCACACUGGAACUGAGACACGGUCCAGACUCCUACGGGAGGCAGCAGUGGGGAAUAUUGGACAAUGGGCGAAAGCCUGAUCCAGCCAUGCCGCGUGUGUGAAGAAGGCCCUCGGGUCGUAAAGCACUUUAAGUUGGGAGGAAGGGCUUACAGCGAAUACCUGUGAGUUUUGACGUUACCGACAGAAUAAGCACCGGCUAACUUCGUGCCAGCAGCCGCGGUAAUACGAAGGGUGCAAGCGUUAAUCGGAAUUACUGGGCGUAAAGCGCGCGUAGGUGGCUUGAUAAGUUGGAUGUGAAAUCCCCGGGCUCAACCUGGGAACUGCAUCCAAAACUGUCUGGCUAGAGUGCGGUAGAGGGUAGUGGAAUUUCCAGUGUAGCGGUGAAAUGCGUAGAUAUUGGAAGGAACACCAGUGGCGAAGGCGACUACCUGGACUGACACUGACA